rnacentral:rRNA from 1 species
CGGGGUGAGUAACGCGUGGAAAACCUGCCGUAUACUGGGGGAUAACACUUAGAAAUAGGUGCUAAUACCGCAUAAGCGCACAGCUUCGCAUGAAGCAGUGUGAAAAACUCCGGUGGUAUACGAUGGUUCCGCGUCUGAUUAGCUAGUUGGUGAGGUAAAAGCCCACCAAGGCAGCGAUCAGUAGCCGGCCUGAGAGGGUGAACGGCCACAUUGGGACUGAGACACGGCCCAGACUCCUACGGAAGGCAGCAG